rnacentral:rRNA from 1 species
AACAAACGCUGGCGGCGUGCCUAAUACAUGCAAGUCGAACGGGGAAAGCUUUCGGGUGAGUACUAGUGGCGCACGGGUGAGGAACGCGUGGAUAAUCUGCCUUAGAGUGGGGGAUAACUAGUCGAAAGAUUAGCUAAUACCGCAUAAGACCACAGGAGCUGCGGCUCUAGGGGUCAAAGGUUUUUCGCUCUAAGAUGAGUCCGCGUAAGAUUAGCUAGUUGGUGAGGUAACGGCUCACCAAGGCGACGAUCUUUAACUGGUCUGAGAGGAUGAUCAGUCACACUGGAACUGAGACACGGUCCAGACUCCUACGGGAGGCAGCAGUAGGGAAUAUUGCACAAUGGAGGAAACUCUGACGCAGCGACGCCGCGUGAGUGAUGAAGGCCUUCGGGUCGUAAAGCUCUGUCGCAGGGGAAUAACACAAUGAAGGUACCCUGUAAGAAAGGAUCGGCUAACUUCGUGCCAGCCGCCGCAGUAAGAC